CCUCCUCAUUCACGAUCGGACGAUCGCGAUUAAACGCGAUGAACGACUCAUAUUCGUUCCCUCUUUAAACGCGAUUGGACGAUCGAGAUCAAACGCGAUGAAUGACCCAGAUUUGUGCUAGAUAUGUAUAAAUAUUUCGCAUCACACUAAACCCAAACCCUACCCACCAGCCUCCCACCGAAAAAGAGAACCAACCGCCAAC
rnacentral:lncRNA from 1 species